rnacentral:rRNA from 1 species
UUGAACGCUGGCGGUAUGCUUAACACAUGCAAGUCGAGCGGGGCUCCUUCGGGGGCUCAGCGGCGGACGGGUUAGUAACGCGUGGGAACGUGCCUUCUGCUCUGGAAUAGCCCUGGGAAACCGGGGGUAAUGCCGGAUGUGCCCUACGGGGGAAAGAUUUAUUGGCAGGAGAUCGGCCCGCGUCCGAUUAGGUAGUUGGUGGGGUAAAGGCCCACCAAGCCGACGAUCGGUAGCUGGUUUGAGAGGAUGAUCAGCAACACUGGGACUGAGACACGGCCCAGACUCCUACGGGAGGCAGCAGUGGGGAAUCUUAGACAAUGGGGGCAACCCUGAUCUAGCCAUGCCGCGUGGGUGAUGAAGGCCUUAGGGUCGUAAAGCCCUUUCGCUGGGGAAGAUAAUGACGGUACCCAGUAAAGAAACCCCGGCUAACUCCGU